rnacentral:rRNA from 1 species
GUUUACCUACGGGAGGCAGCAGUGAGGAAUAUUGGUCAAUGGCCGCAGGGCUGAACCAGCCAAGUCGCGUGAGGGAUGACGGUCCUAUGGAUUGUAAACCUCUUUUGUCAGGGAGCAAAGGGCGCCACGUGUGGCGUUUUGCGAGUACCUGAAGAAAAAGCAUCGGCUAACUCCGUGCCAGCAGCCGCGGUAAUACGGAGGAUGCGAGCGUUAUCCGGAUUUAUUGGGUUUAAAGGGUGCGAAGGCGGAAUGUCAAGUCAGCGGUAAAAUUUGGGGGCUCACCCCCGUCGUGCCGUGG